CCCCUCUCAGGAUCUCACCUAGAGAGUUUCCAGUAUUCUACCAGUUUCGGCUACAAGAGGAAGAAUCAAGCAGAGACCUACCCAUUCCAUUCCUCGCUUUAGCAGUGGCUAGCGAGUGGAAGACAAUCUGCUACAAGU